AUACGGAAGGUCCGGGCGUUAUCCGGAUUUAUUGGGUUUAAAGGGAGCGCAGGCGGAGAUGCAAGCGUGACGUCAAAUUUCGGGGCUCAACCCCGUCUCGCGUCGCGAACUGCGUCCCUUGGUUGCGGGAAGGGGAGGCGGAACUCGUGGUGUAGCGGUGAAAUGCAUAGAUAUCACGAAGAACUCCGAUCGCGAGGGCAGCCUUCCGGCCCGUCAACGACGCUCAUGCUCGAAGGUGCGGGUAUCAAACAGGAUUAGAUACCCUGGUAGUCCGCACAGUAAACGAUGGACACCCGCGGUUUGGCCUGUAUGGCUGAGCCGCCAAGCGAAAGCGUUAAGUGUCCCACCUGGGGAGUACGCCGGCAACGGUGAAACUCAAAGGAAUUGACGGGG
rnacentral:rRNA from 1 species